AAAAAAAAAAAAAGAAAGAAAAGAAAAACAGUCAUAUAGACCCAAGGACACAAGCAUACCAACAUGCAAAUGACUGUCCCAGAAGGAGAGGAAAGGGGCAGAACAAAUAUGAAAACGUUAAAAACCCUAUGUAACUUGCAGUGAAUUGAAUGUUUGUGUCUCUCCCAAUUCAUGUGUUGAAAUCCUAACCUCCAAUGUGAUGGUAUUAAGAGGUGGGGCCUUUAGGUUAUUAGGUCACAAGAAUAGAGCCUUCAUGAAUGCGAAUAUGGUUUUCUAAAAGAGAUCCCAGGGAGUGCUCACCCUUUCGACAAUAUGAGGUACAGCGAGAAGCUGGCUGUCAGCAACCCGGAAGAGGACUCUCACCAGAACCCCAACCAUGCUGGUGCCCUGAUCUUAGAUUUGCAGCCUUCAGAACAGUGAGAAAUCUGUUUAUAACCCACCCAGUCUAUGGUAUUUUGUUAUAGUUAUAGCAUCUUGAACUCACUAAAACAUAACUUUUAAAGAAGUUAAAGCAGCAGUUAAAUAUCUUCCCACAAAACACAAGGCCCAGAUGGCUUUAUAGGUGAGUUUUUACCUUCAAAGGACAGAUCAUCCCAAUUUUAUGUAAAAGAAAAAGAAGAAAUAUUUCCCAAUUUAUUCUAUAAGGUUAGUAGGACCCAGUUACCAAAACCCAAGGUAUAAGAAAAAAAUUUGAGCCAACAUUUUACUCCUGAAAACAGAGCAAGACUCCGUCUCAAAAAACAAAAAAAAGUAAAGGAAAACACUGUAGUAUGACAUGCACAAAGGAUGUAAUUGGAUUCCUGAUUCACAUCGUGUACAAAAAUAAACUCCAGAUGGAUUAAGGACCUAUAUGUCAAAACAAAAUGUUAAAAGACUUAAGAGGAAACAUAAAUGAAUAUAUUUUAUAACUUGGAGUAGGGAGAGAUAUCUUAAACAAUAUAUGAAAAACACCGUCUAUAAAACAAAAUGAUAAGAGUUGACAAUGUUAAAAUUUAAAACUUUAUAAAUAUGUAAAGGGAGUGAAGACAGGUUAUAAACUGGAUGAACAUAUUCACAAAUACACAAUAGACAAGGGAUUAGCAUAAUAGAUAUGUAUGUGUUGGUAUAUACACACACACACAGACACACACACAUACAAACAGACACAAAACUCCCACAAAUAAAAUUAAGCACUGGUAACUCAAUAAAAAAAAAAUGGGCAAAAGACACAAAAGACACAAAUAGGCAUUUUUUUUUUUUUUUCUUUGAGAUGGAGUCUCUGUCGCCCAGGCUGGAGUGCAGUGGCGCAAUCUCGGCUCACUGCAAGCUCCGCCUCCCGGGUUCACGCCAUUCUCCUGCCUCAGCCUCCCGAGUAGCUGGGACUACAGGUGCCCGCCACCACGCCCGGCUAAUUUUUUCUAUUUUUCAGUAGAGAUGGGGUUUCACCGUGUUAGCCAGGAUGGUCUCGAUCUCCUGACCUCGUGAUCUGCCCACCUCGGCUUCCCAAAGUGCUGGGAUUACAGGCGUGAGCCACCGCACCCGACCACAAAUGGGCAUUUCAUUGAAGAGCAAACAAAUGGUCAAUAAACAUAUGAAGAGAUACUUCACGUAAUCUGAAAUCAGGGAAUGGCAUAUCAAGACCAUACAAGCUACUGUUUUACGCUCCACUUGACUGGCAAAAAUUAAAAGGCACUGAAGAAGAUAUAGGCCGGGUGCAGUGGCUCAUGCCUUGUAAUCCCAGCAUUUUGGGAGGCCGAGGUGGGCCGAUCGCUUGAGCUCAGGAGUUUGAGACCAGCCUGGGCAACAUGGUGAAACUCCAUCUGUACCAAAAAUACAAAAAAUUAGCUGGGCAUGGUAGCAUGCACCGGUGGUCCCAGGUACUUGGCAGGCUGAAGUGGGGGGAUCACUUGAGCUCUGGAAGUAAAGGCUGCAGUGAGCUGAGAUCGCGUCACUGCACUCCAGCCUGGGUGACAGAGUGAGACCCCGUUUCAAAAAAAA
rnacentral:lncRNA from 1 species